GGCGAACUGCUCAGUAACACGUAGCUAACCUACCCUUAGGUCAGACAUACCCUCGGGAAACUGAGGUUAAUAUCUGAUAGGAGAUUUAUACUGGAAAGAUUUAUCUUUAAAAUUCGAGCCUAAGGAUGGGGCUGCGGUGGAUUAGGUCGUUGGCGGGGUAAUAGCCCACCAAGCCGUUGAUCCAUAGGGGCUCUUAGCGGAGAAGCCCCGAGAGGGAAUCUGAGACACUAUUCCCAGCCCUACGGGGUGCAGCAGUUAGGAAUAUUCUGCAAUGCGCGCAAGCGUGACAGAUUGAGUCAGAGUGCGCUUCAAUUUGGAGUGCUUUUGUGAAAUGUAAAAAGUUUCACGAAUAAGGACUGGGUAAGACGAGUGCCAGCCGCCGCGGUAAUACUCGCGGUCCAAGUCGCAGCCAUUUUUAUUGGGUCUAAAACAUCCGUAGCUUGCUUGGUGAGUUCCUUGUGAAAUUCCAUAUCUCAAAUAUGGAGCGUGCAGGGAGUACUGCCAAGCUAGAGACUGGAAGACGUAACGAGUACGUUCGGAGUAGCGGUAAAAUGUGUUAAUCCCGGACGGACUAACAAUAGCGAAAGCACGUUACGAGGACAGUUCUGACAGUCAGGGAUGAAGGCUAGGGGCGCAAGACGGAUUAGAUACCCGUGUAGUCCUAGCAGUAAACACUGCACACUAAACAUUAGUACCUCCUCGAGAGGUAUUGGUGCUGAAGGGAAGCCGAAGAGUGUGCUACCUGGGAAGUAUAGUCGCAAGGCCGAAACUUAAAGGAAUUGGCGGGGAGACACUACAACGAGUGACGCGUGCGGUUCAAUUAGAUUCUACACCGUGAACCUCACCAGGAGCGACAGCAGAAUGAAGGUCAGUCUGAAGGGCUUACCUGACACGCUGAGAUGAGCUGCAUGGCCGACGUCAGCCUGUGCCGUGAGGUGACCUGUUAAAUCAGGUAACAGGCAAGACCCUCACCUAUAUUUACUAAGUGUACAAUAUGGGG
rnacentral:rRNA from 1 species